rnacentral:rRNA from 1 species
UACGUAGGGGGCAAGCGUUGUCCGGAUUUAUUGGGCGUAAAGAGCUCGUAGGCGGCUCAGAAAGUCGGGUGUGAAACCUCCAGGCUCAACCUGGAGACGCCACCUGAUACUGCUGUGGCUAGAGUCCGGUAGGGGAACACGGAAUACCCGGUGUAGCGGUGAAAUGCUUAGAUAUCGGGUGGAACACCAGUGGCGAAGGCGGUGUUCUGGGCCGGAACUGACGCUGAGGAGCGAAAGCGUGGGUAGCAAACAGG